rnacentral:rRNA from 1 species
GUGCCAGCAGCCGCGGUAAGACAGAGGAUGCAAGCGUUAUCCGGAAUGAUUGGGCGUAAAGCGUCUGUAGGUGGUUUGACAAGUCUUCUGUCAAAGAUCAGGGCUUAACCCUGGGCAGGCAGGAGAAACUAUUAGGCUAGAGUUCGGUAGGGGCAGAGGGAAUUCCCGGUGGAGCGGUGAAAUGCGUAGAGAUCGGGAGGAACACCAAAGGCGAAAGCACUCUGCUGGGCCGCGACUGACACUGAGAGACGAAAGCGAGGGGAGCAAAUGGGAUUAGAUACCCCCGUAGUCC